UUUUGUCUCCCAGAUGGCUGCAGCCUCCCAGGGAGCAGCCCCAGGUCCACCCCAACAUCCAGCCUUUCCCUUUGGAUUCUUUUAGAAGAUUCAACAGUAGCACUCAUCUCUCCACUUUCCCUUUCACCCCAGAAAGCGGAAUCUGCAAAGUGCUUUGUAAAGUUCCUUAAGGAACUGCCAUUGCAGCCAAAAUGAAUCCCAAGGAAGAAAAAGUAAAAAUAAUCACAGAGGAGUUCAUCGAAAACGAUGAGGACACAGGUGUGGGAAGGCAGAAGAAGACCUCAAAGACUGCAAGACAAAAAAGAAAGAAACAGCUGCCCACUGCUGGUGGCCCCGAGGAAAUGGUGUCUGAAAAUCCCCACUUGGGUGACCAGCAGGAGCCCAUGCAGGAAGAUUCUGACACUCGGCCCCUGAGCAUAACAAGCCGUCGUGGCCCACGGAGCUUACCUCCAAUUCCUUCAGCUUCCAGGACAGGCUUUGCAGAAUUUUCCAUGAGGGAACGCAUGAGGGAGAAAUUACAAGCUGCAAGGUCCAAAGCAGAAAGCACGUUGCUGCAGGAAAUUCCUACCCCUCGGCCCAGGCGCUUACAAAGCCCCAACAAGAGAGAACUGGAGACUGAAUUUGGCACAGAGGCAGGUGAGGAGGUACAGAGGACUCAACAAGAUGAUUUCCAAAGUUACUCAAGAGUAAAAUUCCGUGAUUCUGUACAAAAAAUCAAGCCUAAACUUCUGGUUCCACCUGGCUUCCCUUCUGCCGAAGAAGCCUAUAACUUCUUCACUUUCAACUUUGAUCCCGAACCAGAGGAAUCACAAGAAAAACCAAAAGCCAAAACCAGAGCUGGCACGAACCAAGAGGAGGAGGAAGGAGAGGAAGAAGAGCCUCCUGCGCAAGGAGAACGCAGAACGGACGAGGAAGAGCUGCUCAGUGCCAAGGAUGAGGAGCAUUUUCUGUUGGGCUUAGACCACGCAGCUGAGGAUUUCAUAGCCGUCAGACCCGCAGAGUAUGAAAGCGUCCACGUUCGACUGCAGAUGGAAAGAGAACUCCUCUUCGUACCCAGCAGGGUGACAGUGCCUACGUAUAAAAAGCUUCCCGAGAAUGUGCAGCCCAGAUUUCUGGAAGACGAAGGCCUUUAUAUUGGGGCAAGACCGGAGGUGCCGCGUGCCUGUCAGAACACCAUGGAGAACAGGCUGCUGACGCAGGAGCCCGGAAGGAAGUGGUUUGGAGAUGAUGGGAGAAUUCUGGCACUGCCCAACCCCACCAAGGCGUUUCCUUCCAGACCACCAGUGCUGACACAGGCGCAAGACAUUAAGGCAGAACUUGAAACACUGUAUAAAAAGGCAGUAAAAUAUGUCCACAGGAGUCAACACAUGAUUGGAUCUGGGGACCCCCCUGGAAAUUUCCAACUGGACAUUGAUAUUUCAGGGUUAAUCUUCACUCAUCAUCCUUGUUUUAGCCGAGAGCAUGUUUUGGCAGCCAAGCUGGCCCAACUAUACGACCAGUACCUUGCAAGACAGCAGAGAAACAAGGCAAAAUUCCUCGCUGAUAAGCUUCAAGCUCUAAGAAAUGCAGUUCAGACAGGAAUGAAUCCAGCAAAGCCUCAUAAAUCUCUUGAUACAACCCAAAAAGCCAUCAAUGAGUAUAAAUCUGAAAUUCGGCAAACAAGAAAACUACGUGACACUGAACAAGAAAAAGAUCGAACAUUGCUUAAAACCAUCAUAAAAGUUUGGAAGGAGAUGAAAUCCCUUCGAGAAUUUCAGAGGUUUACGAAUACACCCUUGAAACUUGUUCUGAGAAAGGAAAAAGUUGACCGGGAAGCAGACGAAGCAGCAUAUGAGGCAGAAAUUCAAGCUGAGAUAAGUGAGUUGCUGGAAGAGCACAGGGAAGAGUAUGAACAGAAGAUGGAGGCGUACAGAGCCGCGUACCAGCAGUGGAAAGCCUGGAAGAAAGCCCAGAGGGCCAAGAAGAAGAAAAAGAAGCAAGAACAUCCUGUCGAAGAACAUCCCGACGAGGGCUUGGAGGAGCCGUAUCCCGGGGAAGAGCCUGUGAAGCCGGUCCCCCCGGAGCCCACCAAUCAGGCGUUGGUCGAGCAACAGGUGAGGGAGAAGGCAGCCCGGAGCAGGAGAAGGCCUGGGGAGCCCACGCUGGUGCCGGAGCUGAGCCUGGCGGGGAGCAUCACUCCCAACGAGCAGUGUCCCAGGGUGGAGGUCUUGCGAAGGGAGGAUGUCAAGAGGCGCUCGAUAUAUAUAAAGGUGAUCUUCAAUGACAAGGAAGUGUCCAGGACCGACAGUCGGCCACUCGGGGCAGACUUCCGAGUUCACUUUGGACAGAUUUUCAAUUUGCAAAUAUUCAACUGGCCAGAGAGUUUAACAUUGCAGGUAUAUGAAACAGGACACACUGGUACCACAUUGCUAGCAGAAGUGUUUCUGCCUAUUCCUGAAACUACCGUUGUCACUGGAAGAGCUCCCAUUGAAGAAGUGGAGUUUAGUAGUAACCAGCAUGUGACACCGGACCACGAGGGAGUUGGAAGUGGAGUGCCCUUCUCAUUUGAAGCAGAUGGUAGUAAUCAACUGAUUCUAAUGACCUCGGGGAAGGUGUCCAACAGUGUGGCCUGGGCCAUUGGAGAAAAUGGGAUCCCUUUAAUUCCCCCACUGUCACAGCAGAACAUCGGAUUUAGAAGCGCUUUGAAGAGGGCAGAUGCCAUCUCCUCUAUUGGUACAUCCGGACUGACAGACUUGAAAAAGUUGGCCAAGUGGGCAGCAGAGUCCAAGCUCGACCCGAACGACCCCAACAAUGCCCCUUUGAUGCAGCUAAUAUCGGUUGCUACCAGCGGUGAAUCCUAUGUCCCUGAUUUCUUUCGCCUAGAGCAGCUGCAACAAGAAUUUAACUUUGUUUCGGAUGAGGAAUUAAAUAGAUCCAAACGAUUCAGGCUUCUUUGUCUUAGAAGCCAAGAGGUGCCCGAAUUUCGAAAUUAUAAGCAAAUUCCGGCAUAUGAUCGAGAAAUUCUAGAAAAAGUAUUCCAGGACUAUGAGAAACGUUUACGAGACAGAAACAUAAUUGAAACCAAGGACCACAUAGAUACCCAUAGGGCCAUAGUAGCCAAGUACCUCCAACAGGUUAGAGAAUCAGUGAUAAAUCGUUUUCUGAUUGCAAAGCACCAUUUUCUUCUUUCGGAUUUGGUCGUAGAAGAAGAAGUUCCCAAUAUCAGCAUUCUGGGGCUAAGCCUUUUCAAGCUGGCAGAACAAAAGCGACCACUAAGGCCAAGGAGAAAAGGUCGGAAGAAGGUGACAGCCCAAAACCUGUCCGAUGGAGACAUAAAGGUGCUGGUGAACAUCAUCCGGGCUUAUGACAUUCCCGUGAGGAAGCCAACGGCAAGCAAAUUCCAGCAGCCAUCAAGAUCUUCAAGGACUUUCAGCGAGAAACGUGCUGCUUCGCCAACCACACACAGCCCUACCCACAGUGUGGACUACCCCCUCGGCCAGGUUUUAGUACGUCCUUUUGUAGAGGUUUCUUUUCAACGAACAAUUUGCCACACAACUACAGCUGAAGGACCAAACCCCAGCUGGAAUGAAGAAUUGGAACUUCCUUUUAGGGCCCCCAAUGGGGAUUACAGCACGACCAGUUUGCAGUCAGUGAAAGACGACGUGUUCAUAAACAUCUUUGAUGAAGUGCUGUACGAUGUCCUAGAGGAUGACCGUGAAAGAGGAAGCGGAAUCCACACGCGUAUUGAGAGACACUGGUUGGGAAGCGUGAAAAUUCCAUUUAGCACCAUUUAUUUCCAAGCCAAGAUUGAUGGGACGUUUAAAAUAGACAUUCCCCCUGUUCUUCUGGGCUACAGCAAGGAGCGAAGCCUGAUUAUCGAGCGGGGUUUUGACUCUGUGAGAAGCCUGAGUGAAGGCUCCUACAUCACCCUGUUCAUUACCAUUGAGCCUCAACUGGUUCCCGGGGAGUCUGUUCGAGAAAAGUUUGAUUCUCAGGAAGAUGAGAAAUUGCUUCAAGCAACAGAGAAGUUUCAAACUGAAUGUGCCUUAAAGUUUCCACGUCGCCAGUGCCUCACAACAGUGACGGACAUCAGUGGGAAAACCGUCUUUGUCACCCGUUACCUCAAGCCUUUAAACCCUCCCCAGGAGCUCCUGGAUGCCUGCCCCAACAGCCCCCAGGCAACGGCGGAACUGGUGGCUCGAUAUGUGUCAUUGAUUCCUUUCUUGCCUGAUACGGUUUCAUUUGCCGGCAUCUGUGACCUGUGGAGCACCUCCGAUCAAUUUCUGGAUCUCCUGGCAGGAGACGAAGAAGAGCACGCAGUGUUACUCUGUAAUUACUUUCUCUCUCUGGGGAAGAAGGCCUGGCUCAUGAUGGGCAGUGCGAUUCCUGAGGGUCCAACUGCUUAUGUGCUAACUCGGGAGCAAAGUCACUAUUUAAUAUGGAAUCCCUGCACUGGACAUUUUUAUGGACAAUUUGAUACAUUCUGUCCCUUAAAAAGUGUGGGCUGUUUAAUAGGUCCCGAUAAUAUUUGGUUUAAUAUUCAACGAUAUGACUCCCCACUUCGGAUAAAUUUUGACGUCACCAAGCCCAAGCUAUGGAAAUCUUUCUUUUCAAGAAGCCUUCCAUAUCCUGGCCUCUCUAGCGUUCAGCCAGAAGAACUAAUUUACCAGCGCACAGACAAAGCGGCCGCAGCUGAGCUACAAGACAGGAUUGAAAAAAUACUAAAAGAAAAAAUCAUGGACUGGAGGCCACGCCAUCUGACUAGAUGGAAUAGGUACUGUACCUCUGCCCUACGGCAUUUCUUGCCAGUGUUAGAAAGAAGUCGAGGAGAAGAUGUAGAAGAUGACCACAGAGCAGAGCUGCUCAAACAGCUGGGAGACUACCGGUACAUAGAUGAAGCCGCAUAGAGUAGAAGACAUAAUUCAAAGUUCAUCUCAGUAAUUAAGCUAUUAAACAGCAAAAUGCCUCUAUAAACUGAAAAUGCUCUUAGACUACGGAAUGAAAAGAUCUUUAAAAAAAUGUAUUGCAAGAGUAUUAAAUACAAUUAAAACAUCUGGCUAAAUCAUACUAGACUCAACUGUGCAUAAAGUUCUCUGGAUUUCCCCUGCACAUGCCCUAUUCUGAACUGAAGCCUUUAAUUGAAGCAGUGUACAGCACCGGAGUACAUAAUAUUGAUGUUCCCAAUGUUGAAUUUGCUUUAGCUGUAUAUAUCCACCCAUACCCCA